UUGGAGGGCAAGUCUGGUGCCAGCAGCCGCGGUAAUUCCAGCUCCAAUAGCGUAUAUUAAAGUUGUUGCAGUUAAAAAGCUCGUAGUUGAAUUUCGGGGUUAGUAGGUUGGUCAUGCCUCUGGUAUGUACUGGUCUCACUGAUUCCUCCUUCCUGAUGAACCGUAAUGCCAUUAAUUUGGUGUUGCGGGGAAUUUGGACUGUUACUUUGAAAAAAUUAGAGUGUUUAAAGCAAGCUAACGCUUGAAUACAUUAGCAUGGAAUAAUGAAAUAAGACGUUCGAUCCUAUUUUGUUGGUUUCUAGGAUUGACGUAAUGAUUAAUAGGGAUAGUUGGGGGCAUUAGUAUUCAAUUGUCAGAGGUGAAAUUCUUGGAUUUAUUGAAGACUAACUACUGCGAAAGCAUUUGCCAAGGAUGUUUUCAUUAAUCAAGAACGAAAGUUAGGGGAUCGAAGACGAUCAGAUACCGUCGUAGUCUUAACCAUAAACUAUGCCGACUAGGGAUCGGAUGAUGUUAAUUUUUUAAUGACUCAUUCGGCGCCUUACGGGAAAC
rnacentral:rRNA from 1 species